UAAAGAACUCACAAUAAAUCAUAUUAAACAGUUACAAGAUAUUAGACAGCUGCUUGAAUUUUUAUCCAAGACUUUUUUGAAUUAUAUUUUUUAAGUCUUUUUAACAAUUGAAGCUUUCUGCCUUUCUCACUCACCCAAGUGUGUUCAAAUUCCUGGCUGGAGAUCUAAGAAGAGAGGAAGGAGCACAUUCAGAACUGGGGGUCACAGAAGAAACUUUAAGCCGAAAGGAUCCCUAGUGUGCGGAAUGGCACUUGCAGGAAGCAGCUGGCAUUAGGAUCAUUUAUUGUCUGUUGUCAGUGCUGUUCUCUGACCUGGAGCUUGGAGGCCCGGCUAUUGUAAACCCACAGAAGAAAACUCAAAACUUAUGCAGAAUUAUUGAUUGUUUUCUCCACCCAGAAGAAAUCGUUUUUCCUGGAAAGUCAGCCAUAUGGUGCCACAGAGGUGGAAGUAAGCCCUGAGUGGAACUACAAAGACCAGAAAGUGAAUCAUCGUUGGAAGAGUCUUGACAUUCUUACCAAACAAGAAGAAAAGAAGAAGCCUGAUACAACUUAAUUUUUUUCCUGUUGGUUAGAAUAUUACAACAGAGAUAGCACCACACCCCUCUAAGGAAUGCUCCACUUCUGACCAACUCCUUUCACAUCGGCAACUGUUGCCACGGUUCUUGUCUGAGACCCCAGAGAGCUGUUCUGAAUUGUCUCUUGGAUUCAUCCGGGCACCCUUCCAUUACUGUUGGCUUCUAGUAGUCAUGGAAAUUACAAGUUGUCCUGUUUAGUGUGGCAGCUGGAUUAUACAUCCCCAUAUGUGGUCAUAUGACACAGUGACACCAGUCUGGACCAUGUGACUACUUGCCCAGUGGAAUGUACACAGAAGUAGAGUAUACUGUAACCAAGCAGAAGCUUUGAGAACCCUAGUGUCCUUCAGCCAUUUCUCCCUCCCUCUGCAAUGCCAAAGUCCCCCCCCACAGGAACUGAUCCUUUCAGCCUGGCUCCUGGAAUGAGAAGAUAGAUAGAGAGGAGCUGCAGCUGAUCCACAGAUGACUCGUAACAUGAACAAGAAAUAAAUCUUUAUUAGUGUAAGUCAUUGAGACUUUGCCUUUGUUUGUUCAUGCAAAUAACCUAGCAAAAUUUGAUAAUACACAGUCCUCACUACACUGUGAUAGAUUUAAAAUAAAUGACUAUUUUAGUUCUAAUGUGUAGAAGCAGAUAUGACUUGGAAAUUUACAUAAAAGCUUGAUAUUUGCAUUGGGUUCAUUGUCAUUGAGUUUUCACCAUUUAAAUCACAGCCUUGUCCAGGUACUUGGAUAAAAGAAAUAUGUGCCCCUUGGGGCCGGCCCGGUGGCACAGCG